AUUGAACGCUGGCGGCAGGCCUAACACAUGCAAGUCGAGCGAGCGGCGGACGGGUGAGUAAUGUUUGGGAAACUGCCUGAUGGAGGGGGAUAACUACUUGAAACGGUAGCUAAUACCGCAUACCAUCAGAUGUGCCCAGAUGGGUUUAGCUAGUAGGUGGGGUAACGGCUCACCUAGGCGACGAUCCCUAGCUGGUCUGUGAGGAUGACCAGCCACACAGGAACUGAGAAACGGUCCAGACUCCUACGGGAGGCAGCAGUGGGGAAUAUUGCACAAUGGGCGCAAGCCUGAUGCAGCCAUGCCGCGGGUGUGAAGAAGGCCAUCGGGUUGUAAAGCACUUUCAGCGGGGAAGCGUUACCCGCAGAAGAAGCACCGGCUAACUCCGUGCCAGCAGCCGCGGUAAUUC
rnacentral:rRNA from 1 species